AAUACUAAUCUCUGUAAGUGAAGAUGAUUUACAACGCAUGAUGCACCAAUUUAAUAUAACUGACAGAAAAUUUACCAUGUUAAUUUCCAAAAACAAAAGACAAAAUGCAUGGUUAUAACAGCAAAUCCAAUAAGAUAUAAAUUGGAGUUGGAGGGUCAGAUCAAGUAAUGGAGUUAAUUAAAUCAAGUAAUUAAUCAGUCAGUUGAACAAGUAAUGGAGUUUAAAAAUAAGUAUCUCGGCAUCACACUAUCCAGCUAUGGAAGGCUCGAUACAGAAGUGGAAGAUCAAGUGAAUAGAGCAAACAGAGCCGCAAGUUGCCUGAAUGACACAAUAUGGAGAAAUAAAAAUAUCGGAAAAGAAAUGAAAGGCAGAAUUUACAAAACAGUCAUCAGACCAAUAAUACAUAGGUACGCGGCAGAAACACUACCUGACACAGAGAGGACAAAAAGAUGUAUAUAAGGGUAUAAAAGAUGGAUUAUAUGUUUGAGUCUUAAGUACUCUGUCACAUGCUUUCUUCAAAUCAAUCAGAAAUGCUGGUCUAUUAUUCUCUAGUGAUUACUCAGUAAUCUGCUUAAUGACGAGUAUUACGAAUUAUGACGAAUAUAAGUUUUAGGGUAGUAUUUAACAAGUUUAUACCUCUGUAGUUUUCUGGUUGUUUUAAUCUCCUUUUUUGAAUAGUAGAAUUAGUUCGCUCGUUCUCCAUUCUUUCGGUAUUUUAUUGUUUUUAUAAUGUUGUUAACUCUUCUGUCAUUACUGCUCUACAAUAUUUCAGUAAUUCGUUUGGUAUUCCAUAUUUACCUUCGGCUUUUAUGUUAUUCAGCUCUGUAAGUUGAACUUCCAGUGUAUUUAUAUUAACUGCUUCAUCUGUGGUAGUUUCUGAUGUUUACGGUUCUAACAUCAUUUGUUCUUCCUCUGCAUAGGACUUCUUUAGAUGGUCAAUGGUCAUUCCAUGAAUCCUCUUCUAUGUAUUUUGGUUCUAUUAGUUCCUUUACCUCCGUUCUUUGACUUCUUACAAAGUGCCAUAUUUUCUAGUGCAGAUCAAAAGAAUCAUGUUCCAUUUCUUUCAAAAACCGUUACCAGUUAUCAUUUUUUAUACUUAUUACAAGUGCAUGUGUUUCUUUUGUUAUUGUCUUGUAAUUAUCGUAAGCCUCUUGUAUUUUGGUGAACAUGUAUUAUUUCAGGUAAGUUUUUUUUCUUUUCUUUGCAUAUUUUCUUUACUUCUGUACAAAACCAUGGAGUUCUUCGCCUGGGAAACGAUUUAUUUUUAUUUAUAUUUCUCUCACGAUGAAUUUUAUAGAUUAAAAAUUCAGAAUUAAUUUCUAGUUAUGUUUAUUGUUGAAGUACCUAUUUUGUUAAAACAAAA
rnacentral:lncRNA from 1 species